UACAGAGGUCUCAACCGUUGUUCGGAUUCAUUGGGCGUAAAGGGUGCGUAGGUGGUGAGGUAAGUCGGAUGUGAAAUCUCCAAGCUCAACUUGGAAACUGCAUUGGAAACUACCUUGCUAGAGGAUUUGAGGGGGGAUUGGAAUACUUGGUGUAGCAGUGAAAUGCGUAGAUAUCAAGUGGAACACCAGUGGCGAAGGCGAAUCCCUGGAAAAUACCUGACACUGAGGCACGAAAGCUAGGGGAGCAAACAGG
rnacentral:rRNA from 1 species